UACGUAGGGGGCGAGCGUUGUCCGGAUUUACUGGGCGUAAAGCGCGUGUAGGCGGCCCGUUAAGUGGGGUGUGAAAGCCCGGGGCUCAACCCCGGGACGCCGCUUCAAACUGGCGGGCUUGAGGACGGAAGAGGGGAGUGGAAUUCCUGGUGUAGCGGUGAAAUGCGUAGAUAUCAGGAAGAACACCCGUGGCUAAGGCGGCUCUCUAGUACGGAUACUGACGCUGAGACGCGAAAGCGUGGGGAGCGAACAGG
rnacentral:rRNA from 1 species